GAUGAACGCUGGCGGCGUGCCUAAUACAUGCAAGUCGAGCGAAGCGGGGACGGGGGAGUAAAACGUGGGUAACCUCCUAUAAGACUGGGGUAACUUAGGGGAACCGGAGCUAAACCGGAUAAUUAUAGCUCGAUGCGCGCUGAAUUAGCUAGUUGAUAAGGUAACGGCUGACCAAGGCAACGAUGCAUAGCUGAUCUGAGAGGGUGAUCAGCCACACUGGAACUGAGACACGGUCCAGACUCCUACGGGAGGCAGCAGUAGGGAAUAUUCCGCAAUGGGCGAAAGCCUGACGGAGCCAUGCCGCGUGAGUGAUGAAGGCCUUCGGAUCGUAAAACUCUGUCAGUAGGGAAGCGGUACCUACUCAGAAAGCCCCGGCUAACUCCGUGCCAGCAGCCGCGGUAAUAC
rnacentral:rRNA from 1 species